CAUCACUCUCAAUUCCUCGUUUCAGAAAAAGGCUGAAAAACAUUUACAUUGUUUUUUCUUCACGAUCACGUUAGAUCUCACAUUCUAGAUCUUCUUCAUCUUGCCGCCGAUCAACGGAGACGCCUGUCGUUUGUUUCUACUCAAACCAAGGUCCUUCGUACGAAUAUCGGAGAGUUGUUCACUCGGUCGCCGCCGGCAGGGUGAAAGAAGUUGGGUUCAUCAAGUGGAUAGGAGCUUUCCAUUUGUCGUUCCAAAAUCCAAACUUGUCUCGUCUUUCGGAGAUCUCGCUGCCAAGUACAUCGUGAUUUGAUGAUCGUUCAGGCAUCUUGGACCAAAUCUGUAAAUGUAAAUCCUGUUUGCUUCUUUCUUUCUUUAACAUCAAAUCCGAAACCCCAACUUCUCUCCUUGUCUCCGCUGUUCAUCACUCCAUCUCUUUAAAAUUUCACUCCUCCUGCGGUGGUUGCUCAUCUCGUACUCUGUUUUAAUCGUUUUAACUGACAGUAUCCCUCCUCUGCUUUCUCCCCUUUUUUCUCUCUUUUCCACUUUUCAUAUUUUGGUUUCUUUAUUUCUUUCUUUCUUUUCUUUUCUGAGGUGUUUGGGAAGGGGGAAGAGAUUACUCUCAAGUUUAAGAAUAAAGAGUUUAAGAGUUUCGGCCACAGUAAAGACACCUGCAAACCAUGACUUGCGAUGGAUCUGGUCUUUCUCUUUCUGAUCUUACUGGGUAUAAGCAAGAUUGAUGUCCAGAGUAGCGUUUCAGAGGCCAAUUCUGCUUUUUAAGUUCUUUUGUUACUAGACCUAAUGCUUGUAAGGUGGAGACUUUUCAUGUGAAUUUGCAACAGUUAUCAAUGUCUCGACCUUGCCACGAGGACGCUGGGAUCGAUAACAAUGGUUUGCAAUCAGUGGAACUAGCACAGUUUCCACCUUAUCAAGAAUGUAAUCCUAGGUUUUUCCUCAAUAAUUUGGCUUUUCUUCGACAGAAGGUCCAUGAUCUUCAGGGAGUGGUGAGGUCCAUGUGUAUUCAAGGAGGUAGCGAUGUUGCUGCCGCCACCCGAAGACAACUGGUAGUUGCAGAAAUUGGUUCAAUAAUAGCUCAGAUGAUCUCUAUGGCCAGAAGAUUACUUCAUACGGAUCAGCAGAUAGAGGAUCAGAAUGCCCGGCCAGAGGUUAACACCGUAAUAGUAGCCCAUCUGAGUAAUUUACUAGGGGACACCAUGGGUUUAGGAGCUCAAGAUCUGCGGCAAAUUAAAGGCAAAGGUUCUGCAGAUGGGACCAACAUUGAUCCAGGGCAUUGUGACAGGUUGGUGGAAGAAGAGAAACUAGAUAACUCUGCUCAAGAGGUUGAGUCUGGCUCUUCGACUGAUGCAGAUGGGGAAGGAGAAGAGGAGAAGGUUCCAAGCCCGGGGUAUGAAGUUCUGGAGCUUCAUAAGGAGGAAAUCCUGGCCCUGAAUACUCAUUUCUGUUUAAUUUGCGGCAAGGGUUUCAAAAGAGAUGCAAACCUCAGGAUGCAUAUGCGUGGACAUGGCGACAAGUUCAAAACUCCAGAAGCUCUGGCAAACCCUAAUAAGAGAGCAAAACUGGAACUCGUCCAACCAAGGCGGUAUUCGUGCCCCUUUGAGGGUUGCAAGAGAAACCAGAAGCACGAGAAAUUUCGGCCACUUAAGACCAUCCUGUGCGUCAAAAACCAUUACAGAAGGAGCCAUUGCGAUAAGAGCUACAUCUGUAGCAUUUGCAACCGUAAGAAAUUCUCUGUUGCUUCGGAUUUGAAGACGCAUGAGAAACACUGUGGCAAAGACGACUGGAAGUGCUCCUGCGGGACCAGUUUCACGCGAAAGGACAAGCUGUUCAGCCAUGUUGCUCUCUUCCAUGACCACACUCCACUACCUUCCAUGGACAAACUCAGAGGGUGUCGGAUCUCAGAUAAGGGUCCAAAGGUUAAAACAAAAGAGACCCAUGUCGGUGUAAGUUCAACAACUCCAUCAAGAAGCUCUGGAUUCAAUUCCAUUGUGAUCUCACGAGAAGACUUUGUUCCUGAUCAACCUGUUCCUCCAAUGACCCAAUCUCUACUACUACGUGGUUUUACUGAACCAGAUGGAACAAAUUCUACUUCUGAAUGAGCACGAUGAUGAUCAUCAAACUUAAUAAUGUAUCCUUCCUUUAAGUUUUAUUAUGCAUCUGUUGAUAUCCAGACAAAUCUCCAAUAGCGUCUUUGGCAUUCAUUCUGAGAUUCUGUGCUAACCUUUUCGAGUCCUAUGUUCCAGAGCAUAAUCCUUUCUGCCAUUGUCAGCAUCACCAUUCCGUGAGGUUAGGACUCUUGCAUUCUUUUAACUGUGUUUUUUUUUUUUUUAAUAUUUGUAUGUCUUGUAAACGAGGGAUGUCGAGUGGAUUCCAAUACAAUGUAAGAGGUGAACCCUGUAUUGAGGAUAAUCCUGUUUGAAUUGUUUUUGCCUUGUAAAUCCCUCAAAGGCAAGUAAUCAACAUGAAUUCAUUGAAGCUAUAGGCAUAAACUUGGCUGUUUCCCUAAUAGUUGGUAUAAUCGGCAAUGUUGUGCUAACCGAGAGCUGGUCGAUCAUUUCCUCUCCUCUGCUGCUUUGGUUGAUUAAGCAAAUAAAUCAAUACAUCCCCUUCUUCCUAGGUUGCUUGUAAAAUAUUUCUGACUGAAUAUGAAGUAUUUCAGAUAUUAUUUCUGCUCCA